rnacentral:rRNA from 1 species
GACGAACGCUGGCGGCGUGCCUAAUACAUGCAAGUCGAACGCUUCUUUCCUCCCGAGUGCUUGCACUCAAUUGGAAAGAGGAGUGGCGGACGGGUGAGUAACACGUGGGUAACCUACCCAUCAGAGGGGGAUAACACUUGGAAACAGGUGCUAAUACCGCAUAACAGUUUAUGCCGCAUGGCAUAAGAGUGAAAGGCGCUUUCGGGUGUCGCUGAUGGAUGGACCCGCGGUGCAUUAGCUAGUUGGUGAGGUAACGGCUCACCAAGGCCACGAUGCAUAGCCGACCUGAGAGGGUGAUCGGCCACACUGGGACUGAGACACGGCUCAGACUCCUACGGGAGGCAGCAGUAGGGAAUCUUCGGCAAUGGACGAAAGUCUGACCGAGCAACGCCGCGUGAGUGAAGAAGGUGUUCGGAUCGUAAAACUCUGUUGUUAGAGAAGAACAAGGACGUUAGUAACUGAACGUCCCCUGACGGUAUCUAACCAGAAAGCCACGGCUAACUACGUG